AUGGCGGCUCGCGGCGUGGGGAUGUUGGCACGUUUACCCCUCUGUGCUCAGAGAGGUCAAGUCCUACGUCCUACCCACAGGCUUCUCAGUUGCCCAGGCACUGUGGCCGCAGACGUUAAGAGAGAAGAGCAGUCCUCGAGGAACGUGGAGACUGGCUCUGAAGACAGGACUCCCAAAAAGAAAUUCUCUGAGGUGCAGAAAGAAAGACGAGAACAGGCACAGCGAACUGUUUUAAUACAUUGCCCGAAUAAAAUCAGUGAAAAAAAGUUUCUGAAAUACUUAUCUCAACAUGGACCUAUUAGUAAUCAUUUCUUCUAUGAGAGCUUUGGUCUUUAUGCUGUUGUGGAGUUUUGUCAAAAGGAAAGUGUCACUUCACUACAGAAUGUAACUCGCACUCCAAGUAUGGACACAGAGGCUGCAGUUCCAUUCAAGUCACGUUUCUUCAAUGUAAAGAUGAAGAAUCCAUCAAACCAGACUUCAGAACAGUCCUGCAUACAGUACAGUAAUCAUACCCCUCCUUCAAGCAAGAAGCUUUCUGAAUUACUUUGUUAUGCAGAAAGUAUAGAUGAUCAGCUGAACACUCUCCUGAAGGAGUUCCAGCUGACGGAGGAGGACAUUAAGCUCAGAUACCUCACCUGUUCUCUUAUUGAAGACCUAGCAGCUGCGUAUUUUCAGGACUGUACAGUGAGACCCUUUGGCUCCUCUGUGAACAGUUUUGGGAAAUUAGGAUGUGAUUUGGACAUGUUUUUGGAUCUAGGUGAAAUUGGAAAAUUCAACACCAACAAGACCUCCGGAAAUUUUCUGAUGGAAUUUCAAGUGAAAAAUGUUCCUUCAGAAAGGAUUGCAACUCAGAAGAUCCUGUCUGUGAUAGGAGAAUGCCUUGACCACUUUGGCCCUGGUUGUGUGGGUGUACAGAAAAUCUUAAAUGCUCGGUGUCCUCUUGUGAGGUUCUCACACCAGGCCUCUGGAUUUCAGUGUGAUUUGACUACUAAUAAUAGGAUUGCCUUGAAAAGUUCUGAACUCCUUUAUAUUUAUGGUGCUCUCGACUCAAGAGUGAGAGCCUUGGUGUUCUGUAUUCGGUGUUGGGCUCGAGCACAUUCAUUAACGAGUAGUAUUCCUGGUUCUUGGAUUACAAAUUUCUCUCUUACAAUGAUGGUCAUCUUUUUUCUCCAGAGGAGAUCACCCCCUAUUCUUCCAACACUUGACUACCUAAAAACUCUAGCAGGUGCAGAAGAUAAAUGCAUAAUAGAAGGCCACAACUGUACUUUUAUUAGUGACUUGAAUAGAAUUAAACCUUCAGGAAACACAGAAACACUAGAAUCACUACUGAAAGAAUUUUUUGAAUAUUUUGGCAAUUUCGCUUUCAAUAAAAAUUCCAUAAAUAUUCGACAGGGAAGGGAACAAAACAAACCUGAGUCUUCUCCCCUGCAUAUUCAGAAUCCUUUUGAAACUUCUCUUAACAUCAGCAAAAAUGUAAAUCAAAGCCAGCUACAAAAAUUUGUAGAUCUGGCCAGAGAAAGUGCCUGGAUUUUAAGUCAGGAAGAUAAAGAUCGCCCUUCCCCAUCAGGUAAUCGGCCCUGGGGGCUGGCAACGCUGCUGCUUCCUUCGGUGGUAAAGAGUGUGUCUCUUGCUAAGAAGAAAAGGAAGAAGCCUGCAAGUGAAAGAAUUAAAAAUUUGCUGGAAUCCAUAAAAAGUAGCAGUCCAGAAAAUGACACAAACACCAAUGGGAAAAGAACAGUUAGUACUCAGGCAUAGUGGCUCCUCCUUUGCUUUAAGAACUGGUUUUCCCCGAGAACAUGCACUUUGGGGCGCCUGGAAGAACGGGUGUGAAACACUCAUAGAUGCCCACUGUCAUCCGAUGUCCCUUUUCAUGAUCUUCUCACUGGGCCUCCUCCUCAUCUGAAGUUCUGGGAGCUUUCAGCCUGAUAAGCCUCAGAUCCAUCAGCACCUAGAACGUCCGCCACAAGGAAUGGGUGACAGAGGAUUGGAAUGCUCUUUAGAUAAACUAUACAAAGCAAGAGGUAAAAAAUCAGUUUUAGAAUCAAACCAUUAUUGAUAUCAACAUUAGGCCCCGGAUGGAAAUCAUUUAAAAGGACUUUGGGGAUCAUAGAGGAGAAGAGAAAAUACAGUCGAAGUAGGACUUCCUGCUGUCAUUACUACGAGCCCCUUCUUCCUUUUGCUCAGGGACUAUAGUCAGCCUGCUGGUGCCACAGUAGGGAAAAGCUACAUUUGCCUGUGUCUUUUAAGCCAGCACAGGGAACAUCGCAGCAAAGCCAUCAGGAAGAGCAACCAAGCAGUCACAGCUUGCCCAUGUGGCAACUUUGCACUUGCCAGAGUCUGGCAUUCGGUUGGUGAGUAGCUGUCCUCAGUCUCCGUUCAGUCCCUUCGGGAAACCUUGUAGGAGUGCAACGUUCAGAACACCGUAGAAACAAAUAAAUCAUUUUUGCCUGAGAUGAUCAGCCUCACUGAUGAAUGGCUCAGGUAGAUCUUGAAAGUACAGGUAGACAAGAGAAGGGCAUAGGGCUUAUUGUUUGGGAAAUCACAGGACAGCCCGAGGAGGAGUCAGGAAGAGGGAGGAGUAUUUGGAGAACUGGCAGUUUGGGUGGGUUGGGAUGCAGUUUUUCCCGGGAUGCUCAAAAGAGUUAAGGUUGGGUGAGAUCACGAAGGACUGCCAAUGGCAAUUUAAGGAAGUUGAGUGUGUUUUCAGUGGUAAGCUACUGAAGGUUUUUGUGUAAAAAUAAUAAAAAUUAAGGCAGUGCUUUUAGAUGAUUCAUCUGUUCAUACCCAGUAGUUUUAGAUCACUGCUCCUUUUUUGCAAGUUUGAGUUCCAUGGCUCUCAUCAUUAAGUCAGAUAAAAUUUGGCUGUUCAGUUUUCCGUGAAGGUCCAGAAGCUGACCCCCAUAUACCUCAGAGGAGUUUUUCUUCUUAAUAUUUAAUAAGGAAGUAAGGUUUAAGUAGUUUUUAAAGU